ACGGCCGAGGCCCCCACCCAAGCUCUCGGCCAGAGGCCGGGGGUCCCCUGGACUUCUUCCCCCUUUCGCCGUUCCCUUCUGGGCGGUGCAUUUCUUCAGGAGCGGGGGAUGCUGCUGGCAGCUGGAUUAGGAGGACGAGGAGCAGGAGGAGGAGGACUGUUGGUGGCCCUAGACCCUUGGUUUGGGGGUGGUAUUUAUUUUCACAGCUGUGUUUUUGUGAGUGGUGGGGAAAAGCUUAUAGAAUUUCCAGUACCCCAUUCCUGCUUUUUUUGUAUUCCCAAAUGAGCGAGAACCCUCUGGCCUUAUUUCUUAAUGUUAAGGGGAGAUGGACGCUGCCUCAGAGGACAUCAUCCCCUGACUCUACGUCCCCGAUAGAACUGAGGCUGGGUGGAGGGCCCCGGGCAGUCUAACGGGUUGGCCUUCAGGCACAUUUUCAAAUGAGCUCUUGCCUCCUCAAGCGUCCCUGUCACAUGCCUUGCCCCUCUUUUUCUGGGUUGAGGGUGAGGAGACCGGAGGAGAAUUGAAAUUAUCGUCUUAACUUUGAGAAACUUCCGACCCUAUUCUUGUAGGUUACUUGCUUUACCCAUGUUUCGUAUCUGCCAUAAAUUUUUCUUCUGGUACCAAAGGUCCGUUGGAAGGAAAGCAUCCAACACCCAAAUGUGACUUUGUGUCUUUGGUACAUGGUGUUGUCCACCUCUUUCAUUUAUAUGCAUUUGAAGAAGAGAAGGAUAGGAAGUAUUUAUUUAUUUAUUUUUGUCUUUGACACAAAUAUAGCUAAGCAACUUAAGAGAAUCUGGCCUUACAGAAUUUCUGAAACAAAUGUAGUUUGAGAGGCAAAGAUGCUUUCUUUUAGGAUAAGGCACUGCCAGCUAUCCUUAGAGAUGAGUGAUUUUGGAGGUGAAAGUAUAUAGAAAGAUAUAGGGAGAAGGCAGUGCACCCUGGAAAAUAAUUAAUUGCAAGAACAGGCUCCUCUGUUGUAUCUGAUUAUCAAUAAGUUUAGUUGCUGCGCCCUGUGGUUAACACUUCUUUGCCUCUGCCAUAAUUUAUUGCUUACUUUAACCCUUUCUUACUCUGCUUAAACUUUCAACAUAACCAAACUGAUGUUUUGUCAUUCUGAGGUCCUUCAGAAAUAUUAAUAAAGACAUGUAAGUCAUGUCCCCUCACCCUGGGCCCCCUGACAUUCAGCUCCAGGACUGCUGUGCACAGAAGGCUGAGAUUGUGUCUCCUCGCAAGGAUGAUGGUGGUGGGAGCAAUGCCGAGAGCGCAACUGGAACCAUGGAGACAUUUAAGGCAUUUAGGCCUACGAUUCAGAAAUGAUGUUUCUGUGAUGGUUGUGUUUGGGGGUUCGAGGAAGCUAGAACGAGUUCUAUUUGUCACAGUUGAUUCAAACCAUAUAUAGAAGUGAAAGAAUAGUUCACAACAAAGAUAUAAACUCAACUAAUAGGUCCUUUCCUUAAGAACGACUUGUUUAUAUGUGUUGUUAUGGGUGUUUAUGGGGAAAGAGACAGAUUUGGUCAUCUGGGAAAUAUCGUGUCGAUAUGUCAGUCCACAUACCUACAAGGGAUCUUUCAUCCUGGGAAUGAAAAAGAACCCUUGGCAACACAUGUUUCAGAUCACAGUGAACAGCCGAAGCAAUUUUUUUGGUAAUUUAAUAUUAAAUAUUAGAGACAAUGUAUAUGGUCCCCUCAUUUCAGUUAUUGAUUAAAAAUAAACUCUGGGCAAGUAACUUUCUUUAGCUUUCUCUUCUGUAAAAUGGGGACAAUAAAGCCUAAUGCUACAGUCAAAGUCCAUUGUAAUAAGCAUAUUUGCAAUGACUUUCUUUUUCAAAAAAGAUUUCCAAGCCACUGGUCAUCUUUUAUAUGUGACCUUCAAUACAACAAAAUUUCAACUGGCUAAAGAAAUUGGGCAGUCUCCUGCCAUUCAUUGUAAAGAGGUUUGAUUUCUAGCACCAAUAUUUAUUAUCUUGGAAAAAAUAAAGACAAAAACUUGAAAAAAUAUGUAGACUAUAAUCAACUUUUUUUUUUUUUUUGCUGGACCUUUAGUUGCUUAUAUGUGGACAUUAUACCCACACCUCAGAGAGGAAAAUAGAGUCACAGAAAAGGUAAAUAAUUGACAUAAAACUAUGUAGUGAGCCAGUGGCUGAAGUACAGUCAAUUCAUGUUUCUAACUUUGCAGUGUAUCUUGCUUUGAGUAAUGUUGCAAGAUACCUUCCAAAAGCUCAGCAAAGAAAUCUCAACUGAGACUUAACUUGCAGGUGCAAAGCAAGGUUGGGAGAAACAGUGUUUCUGGCCAGGGCUGUCUGCUUUUGUUAGUGGAAGGACAAGACAUUGGCUAAGUGCGGAUUUGCCUUACCCAUCAGACCAUAUAGGACAUGUGUUUAAAGUUUAACUUCUCACAGCGUAGCUUUUUAUCCACAGCUGUGACUUAAAUAUUUGUCAGAAUGAUUUCUUUGGGUUGCUUAGUUUCUUAUGCAUGGAGACAGCUAGUGUGGGAUCUUAAUCUGGCUUAAAUGAUUAAACCAGAAUUUUCUCCCCACCCCAUCCCAAAUUCAUGAGUUCCAGAGAGAGGCAGUAGGGAAGUGGGGUGUCCAAACAGGAGCCACAAGACCUGGAUUAUUUGUCUUCCUGGCUAGGACCUGACCAAGAACCUUUAUGUACUGUUCUUCUAUUUUGAGACUUCACAGGAGUUUGACAAUGUUAAGUACUAAAUUAACAUAUAGUCUGAAAUAACAUUAGAAUUGACUUUUCCUUGCAAGUGUAAGAGUAAGGUGGGAUAUGCUGUUUGAUGGCAACAGUGUGAUUGCAAGGAUCUUAAAUAGCUUAAAAACAAACAUAGCCAUUGGGUUCACUCCUGGUUCUCUCCUGGUGGAGCCUGCUGCAAAGGGACCAGGUGCCAAAGCCAACACAUUCCCAAGGCACUUAAUUUUUCCUUUCCUUCAGCACUCUGCUCUACCUUCUUGGUGACGUGAGCUUAGUGUCCAUAUAAGAGCAGGAGCUCUAAUCCUGGAUACUUGCUGUUUUAUAAGAAUAAAAGGAUCAGCCUCUGGCCCCACCCGCCCUCAGUAGAGGGUAUACAUCCAUCGGGAACAUGCAUUAUACUUAGAGAUAGGAAGCAGCUUUGUCCUUGCUCAGCUUGGUCGGUCUUUGUUUCUUCAUCAGUGUAGACAAGAAAGAAGGGCAGAGCUGCCCAGUCUAUUAGAUCACUCGCUCACUGUGCUCCCAGAUCCCUGCCGACCACACUCCAUUAGUGACUAAAGAGCUCCGUGGUUCAGAGCAGAGACUCUGGAGCCUGCCUGUCUGGAUUUGAAUCUCAGCUCGCCACUUAGUAGCUGUGUGACUUUGGACAAAUGACUUAAUCUCUCUGUGCUCCAGCUUCUGCCUCUAUAAAAUGAGUGUCAUCAUUCUACUUCAUAGGAUGAAUAUGAGGAUUAAAUCUAUGAAUAUGUGCAAAAUCUGAAAACAGUGCCUGAUCCAUAAUAAAUCCUAUUUAACAGUUAACUACAAAACAAGUCAACAAAAAUUGAUCGUGAUCAGUGUAGAAUUUUCAGAGGCCCUUGAAUGUUUGUUAGGAGAUAAGGUGGCUGUGUUAUGCACCUCCUGAUAAUCUAUUAUUUGAGAGGGAAUGAAGAGUAGAGUUAAGGAGGCCUUUUCACCUGCUUGACUGAGAUCUCAUGCCCGUGAAACUUCAUUCUCUUCUCCAGGGAGCAAACAGUGAGAGGUAACUUUCAGAGAGUGUCUUGGAGUCCAAACUCUCACAGUUAGAGGCAUAGGGGUUUGCCAAUUACUUUGGGUGAUGGAGACUGUCAUUGUUACCUCAGAGCAGGAAGGCUACCAGGUCUAGAGGCAAGGGGAACAUUUGCAGGGUUGAUGGAAAAGUCAACUUUUCAAUUAUGCAGGGCUGAGAAAUGCAUCAUGUCCAGUUAUUAUAAAGCAUCUCCUAUUUUAUUUAUUUAUUUGGUUGGCAGAGCUUGCAUUCCUGGCAUUUUUGGUUGGUUUGUGUUGCUGUUUUUUUGUCUGUGUAACUUUUUUUUUUCUCUUAAAGAGGCCAGACCACCCUGUAGGAACAUCGCUUCCCUCUAGGAGACAAACCAGCCGGUGGUCAACCUCCCAGAGCCCGGGUCACUGGGGUCCAUCAAAUCUCUGCAAAACUGAGAGCUGGUUAGUGUAGGUCAGGAUUUUUCGGGAGAGUCUCCCUGUUUCAGAAUACAGCGGAUAACUACAAUGGCUACAGUGACAGUAUAAUUACAGUUGUCUCUCUGGUUUGUGUAAUGAAUAAUCCACGGCUGUAGUGGAAUUCCAUGAGCUUGCAUGGAAGGUGGUAGGUUCUUGUCAUUCAAAAGUUGUUGGGAUAUUUCUGAAGCACACAUCGAGCCUGCAUUGUGUGCUGGGCACAGUCAGAUAAAAGAGCACUUUUAUGCUUCACACUUACUCUGAGGUGUGGUGGAAGUAUUAUUUUCUCCAUUUUUCAGAUGAGGAAAAUGAGAUUCUCAGAGAUGCAUUCUUGGCCUAAGGCCACACUCUAGAAAUUUAGAAACUGAUGAGACGUUGUAGGCAUUUGAUACCUAAAAUUGUGAGUUAUUCUCAAAAACUGUGGAAAUUAGAACAUGAGCAGGUGAGAAGGCAGUGCUGGUCGGUGCUUUAGGGGUUCAGGAGGUACACUGGCUCCCUUGUAUCCCUGUAAGACCCCCCUGAGCUGGAUCAGGUGGCCUCAUUGUUAGCCCAGUGCUUCGUAUGGCUUGGGGAAAGGGUCCAUCCUGUGGGCUGUCCCAAGGCCUGGCAGUCCAGAUGUGUUGCUUUAGAACGAUGUUUAAAAGUUCCAGCAAUGCUUACCUCAGAAUGAGAGGCAGCGAACCAGGGUUCUUGUUUUUGCGACGUCUUCCAGAUGGCCUUGGCUCCCUCCCAGGUGGGAAGGUGAUUAUGUUAAUCUCCAAGGUCAGUCCUUCACUGAGCCUCCAGAUUCUGCCCAUUUCAUCUCUUUCAUCACUGAUGUUGCUGUGCAUUGAAUCUCUCAUAAUCAGGAUGAUGAGACAUAGCUUGGUAAACUAGUUCAUUUUCUUAAGGCAGUUAAAAUUUAAUUUUCCUGCUUGCAGAGAGGCCAUAGGCAGUUGCAUUUGCUGCCUGUGCCUCAAAUAAAUUCUGUUUUCCCCUCUAAAAUUUAGUUUUUUAAAAAAACCCAUUCCAUGUGUCAGGGCACAUGGUCUGGAGUUGUCCUGGCACAAGGAAGGAAGGACAGCCCCAGGUGUCUACCCACAGGCCUGCCAGCUGUCCCAGCCCAUGGCUCACAGACAGGCACACUCCCCUGCCACUUGUCUAAGGUUAAGACAUUGGUUUCUUUAUUACUGCAUUAUGCAGAGCAUUUUCCCGAAUAGUUAGUAUGCUUGGGCCCACACUGUCACCGCAGAGAGGAAUUUGUGUGUGAACAGCCUCAUCUCCGUGUUUUUAUUUAGCUGCUCCUUAAUGAAAACCUUGGCUCCAUUUUCCUGCUCACGGGGAACCUCUAAUAGCAUUUGCCUCUGUGUUUGCAGUGUUCUAGGUCUAUCGUUCUCUCACAGCUGUUAAGCUGUUCUUAACUCAGGGUUUAGGAAUGUCACGGCUAUUCCCAAAUCUAUCAUUUUUACUUGUCAUGUGUCUGUAGCUACUUUCUGCUUUUUUUUUCUUUUUUUCUGUUGAGUUGAUGAUAUCUUUUUCAAAACUUCAGUGGAUGUUUUCCAAAUUGCAUAAACAGGCUAUUUCUACUUGGCUGCUUUUCUGAAGCCUCGGCCUAUCUGCGUCCCCUUUUCCUUCUCAUUGUAUAGUUUAUAAUCUCCAUGCAGACACAGAAAGACAUAGGUCUGUAGGGUGGAUUGUGGUAGGUCUGGUUUCGUUGGCAGAGAGCCAUGCUUACAGACAUGCUCAAAAUAUUGCUAUUCAAGCCGUAAAUAUUUUAUUGAUCACUUGGCCAACUCUGUCAUAUUUCCCAGGUGCUUUCCAGUGUCUGCUGCUUGGGUGCAAGCCUGUCGCUUAACACUUCAAAUGUGGCUUAUUACUGCCCCUUCCACUUUUCUCAAUUGUUCUUUCUUGUAGCAUUUAGUACUGUCUCUAAGAGUUGUAAAAUAUUGACCCAGAUAGUGCUUUUAGACCCAAAGUAGCAUUAGAAAUUUUAAGGCUGUUGGACUUCAUAUCAUAAUGGUGUAGAGACAGGGAAACCAUAUAAUUUACCACCCAAGCUGGGAUACCUUUGAGAGUAUAAAGGGGCACUAUUAAUAAUUGCAUCAGAAUGAUAGACAUUAACUGGGGCUCUCCCCACAGAUGAGGGUCACCCGCGUUAAACACUAAAUUUGGGCAAUCGUAUUUUCUAGAAUAUCUUCUCUCAAUUGCUAAUUUUAGGGUUUAGACCAUUUAAGUAAGCUAAUAGGGCACGAUUAAGAGUUUGAAGCCCUUUAAGUUUAGUAUGUUUUUCCCCCAACCAUGAAUUAUAUUUUAAAUUUGUUUCUCAGCAUCUGAGAAACCCAAAUCAAUCUCAAACAAGUUCACUUCAAGCAUUCGAAACCUCUUGGUAGCUUUGGGUAGCUGUGAUAAGCCAUUGAUUUUUGCUUUGCAAGGUUCUGUGGAGAAACUGUAAACUCUGCACGUAGCAUAUGUGUGUGUGUGUGACAGAGAGAUAAAAUGAACUUUGAAGUAGAGGGAUGUGUCUUCAUUACACAAGUGAAGACAAUUACGAUUUUUAUUUUGUUUUGUUUAAAUGUUUAUUGAACAUGAGAAAUUUUACUUUGGGCUAAAAAGGGGCAAAAAAAAUGUUGUGUUUUCUUUUUGUACCAUUAAAGUGGGCAAAAACAAAAGCAAAAAUAAAAAACAAGCCCUCAAUUCUUUAGAAGGGGAGGAAGGCAAUGGUGGAUUCAAUUGCAAAAUUCUUUUUGAAUUAAAAAAAGACAAGAAUAAGAAUGAGAACAGGAAAAGAGUAAGAAAGUAUGAAAGAAUGAAUGAAAGGAAAUCGUAAAACUAAAAAUGAACAACUUUAAGUGAUAUUACAUAGAUUUUUGGAAAAGCCUCCAUCUGGGCCAAACAUUACACUGGUUAGGAAUUCCAGGCUCAGGUGGUCCCACGGACAGUUUUGGGUCUGUUGUUUCUACUUCUUGCCUGUGGUCAUUUCUGAAUACUUUAAAUCCCUCAUGGGUAGAUGGGUGGUCAGGACAACUCAGAUGAAGUCUUCCCUGGGUUCCAGGUGCUUCCAUGGCAAAAAAUUCUGGAGGACCAGUGUUUACAUUUAUGAUAAUAUGUGUGGAUCAAUGAUUGUUUGUAUUUUCUGUGUCUGUUAAGCUCUCUCUUGCAACAGUGGUAAGUUAGUUUCAUAGGUCAGCUUCCUGGGAAACAGGGGCACUUCUGAAGCAUUUGAAGGAGGUGUAAGAACAGGGAAAGGAUUAUUUUCCAUAUAGAGAGCAGCGUGGGAAGAGUGCUGCAAGUUUGGAAUGAAAGAGAGGCUUACAUAAACAUGAAGGAAAAAAAUUUACUUGUAGAAAGGGAUGAAGGAAGGAAGUAGGAGGCCAGGACCCAAACAGCGUUUUGAACCUCAGGAUGAAUUUUGCCUUUGAAAGUAGGGAUAUUUAAGGGCAGAGCAGAGUUAUUGAGUAAGCUUAUGAGAUAGGUAAUUUUUUUUUUUGGUUACUUUCCCUCCCACUCAUACUGCUCUUAAAACCUCUGUAUCAGUUUAUCAGAAUAAGCGUUAAACCUCAGAGAAGAUGACAAAAUUGAUCAGGUACAUAUUUUCAAGGUACAAAUGGAAAAUAACCUCAGUCAGGCACAGGAAUCUUCUAAGCCUGGUGAGAGUUUGUAGAUACAGGUUUUUUGAAGUAUUUAGUGUCUCCCACUAUGUGUCAGGUGUUAUACCUGUUCUCUAUUAAUUACUUUUUUGUGUGUGCAGUUAGAGUUGUGUGAUACAUUUAGAAUUGGGUGAUGCAUUAAUAUCAUUCAUGUUCAAACUAAGAAUGUGUUGUUGAGUCUGAUUUUCUUUUAAUUUUUUGUAGAAAUGAGGUCGCGCUAUGUUGCCCAGGCUGGUCUUAAACUCCUGGCCUCAAACAAUCUUUCCACUUUGGCCUCCUCAAGUGUUGGGAUUACAGGCAUAAGCCACUGCCACCGCCCAAGUCUGAUUUUGAAAUACCCUUUAGGAAAUUUAUCACAGGAAAUUUUCAGUGGAAGAGUUUCCAUGUAACUGACUUUUAUACUUCUAGUACCUACACAUUUUUCCUAUUUGAUAUCUUUGGCCAAAAAUUUAAGUUAAUUCCAUACCUUAUGCAUCAGUUGUCUGACAUCAUUAAGAUAUGAAAUAAAUGCACAGAAUGCAAUGAAGAAUCACAGAUUAUCAUAUUUGUUCCUUACCAGUAGGAAUAAAUAUUGUGUACGAAAUAAACAGUAUCCACUCUGUGGGGAGAAUGUGGGCUGGAGAGCCGGGAAUGUUGGUCUCCAGUCACAACUCUGCAUCAGUGUCUGUCUGUGUGACCGUAGGCAAGUCAUUGCAUUUUUAUGCACCUCAUUUUCUUCAUCAGUCAAAUAAAUUCAUUGCAAUGAUGACCUGUCAGAUUUCUCCUAACACUGACAUCCUAUGACUUUAGGUAACAUUUAAAACAGCCAGGGCUUGGAGGGAGCAUAGACUGCCAUUCAAGAGGUAGGCAACAUGGGGAUUUGCAUCCUAAUCCCCAAAUUCUGUUAAUAACAACUUAAUCAUUGGGGAAUGUUGGGUGCUUUGGUAAAGGGCUACUUCCACAGAGAAACAGAGAUGUUAGAAAUUGUUGCCAGCCUAGCUCACCAUUGGGGAAAUGGAGGCAUGUUGUCUCAGGUAGCACUAACCAAGAGUCAUGCCUUCCUCGUGGUCUUCCUUUCAGCUUCCCUUUUCCAUGAGCCCUUGCUGCAGUUGCAGCAGAAGGCAGCUCCAGUGCGGGUUCUCACCUGGAGGAAGGAAAUGGAAGUCAAGGGUUCAGCAGGUGAAGCAGCCCGUCCAGCUGCUUCUGCAGGGCUGAGCCUGUGGGCUGAGUGAUGAGCUUCUUUCAUCCAAUCUGUGUCUUCUUGAUAGACUGCUCUGGUCAGAAACAGUCCCUUCUGCCUGGGGAAUGCAUUCUGCUGUUAGCCAUGGCAGUGCCUCUCCUGACAGACCCAGUGAGUCAGGGCCCCGGCGUGCUGUUUGCACAGAGGGAAGGGCCAGGCCUGCGUGCUUUGGGUGCCCACAGAAUGGUGUCUGGGCGGCCACUGGCUGACCCUGCAGUGGGCACAGGCUGCUUGGCAGAGCUGGAGGCGGACAAGAAACCACCUGCCUUGGCUUCCCCAGCCACCCCGGAAGCUACAAAUGUACACUGGGGUGUGGCGGCGGUGCAAGAGCGGUGCCCGCACAUGGGUGUUAUCUGAAGUCUCAUCUGAUUGAUGUUAUUUCUACAUUUCGAGAAAGGUCUGCCACAGUUACCCUUCUCUUUCCAAAGCAGGGACCUAAGUUCAGCCUGCCAGUUUUUGGGGAAAAACAAAGAAAACUAUCAUUGAUGACAGUAUCGAGUUUAUCUGCUGGUGCUUGUGUAAGCAUUUCUCAUCUCCACCCAUCUUUUCUUUUUUCCUCCUGUUCUGUUUAUUUCUAAUAGUUAUUGAGUGCGAAUGUUGUGCCAGUAUCCUCAUUAUUUCGCCCCAAUAGUGAAGCAUUAUUAUUGCCAUUUCAUAGAUGAAGCAACCGAGAUGAAACGACUUGCCCAAGGUUGCAAAGCUGCUAAAUGGAGGAGUUUAGAUUCAAACCCAGCUGUAGCUAACUUGAAAUUUCCAUGUCUGUUGUUUUCAGAAUUCUCAGCAAUAUUUGGGUGUUUGUGGAAUUUGGGAGAGAUACUAAGGUCCGUUUGUGCAUAUUGUUUGCUAGUUCAUCUUAGUUACUUGGCUAUAUCUGGUAGCAUUUUACAGUUUGCCAUGUGACCUCACCACAUUUGAGCUCAUGGUAAUCCUUAGAGCUACCGAUAUUUUACAAAUAAGGAAAGUGCAGUGCACCGAUGCCAAGUUCCCCUCCCAAGGUUCCAGGGCAAAUAAGCAGAGAGUUAGAACGUGAAGCUCCAGUCAGUUUCUCCAAAUCCCCUGACAUUUGAGUUCAGCCACAUGCAUUUCUUUGAUUAGAUGAGUAUCUAGUACAUUCACUUAAAUAUAAUAAUAAUGUUAAUAAUAAAUGUUAGCUUGAGAUCAAAGUGUCAACAAGGCAUUCUCUUCUCUUUUGGUGGAGGUAGAUUUCACCCACAUACUUUAUGUAUCUGUAACAAGUCCCACAUAGCUGACUGAUUAUUAAGCUUUGAGCAGGUAGCACUGGUCACUAUGCACAGGUAAUUAGGAUUACUGAGCUUUGAGCAGGUUGAACAGAUCACUAUGACAUAGGCUCUGGAAAGUUUGUGCAGAUAUGCAUGAUGCCAAGGCACUGGCAAAAUUGUUGGUAGGCUGGCAAGUUAGUUCCUUCUCAAGGAAAAAAAAAUGUGAAUGAUCCCAUAGGUUACUAGACAGACAUGCAGUUUCCCUUUGGAGAAGGUUGACUUUGGACUUUGAGAAAUACAAUUUUUUUUCUUUUAAUCUAAAGAGAUUUGAAAAGAAUAGAGGUCCAUUUUUUGUUUACCUAUUCUGAACUAUAAGGCACAUUGCUUUGUUCUUCUGUGCCUCAGUUUACCCCUUUUAGUGAAGGAGGUCUAUUUUAAUCAGUGAGAGCUUCAUGUAACUGGAGGAAUGCUUCAGGAAAAAAAAAAUGAAAAAAAUCUUAAGCUGCAUGUUACGGAAAAGAACUGUACCAAGGAGGCAUACAGAAAUUAAUGUUGUCUUAGAUGAACAAUUUUUUCACCCUGCUAGUUUCCAUUUGGGACAUAGGGUAUUUGCUGUGGCACCACGUAUAGACACUCAGAGCUUAGCAGAGUUAUAUCAGAUGAUCUCCCUAAAACAAUGUGGUGUUCCUUACCAAAAAAUGUAAGCCCCGCUGGCCGGACCUUAUUUUGGUCAUUAUGGGAGCCAGAGCAUGCCAAGGUCAAAUGACAGGUUUUUGAUCUGGGAAGUAUUCUUUUGGCUGCUGGUGUUUCCUUGGGAGUGGGUGUAAACCUUAAGUAGCCAGUAGUGACCUUGGGUACCUCUGGAUUACUAGGGAAGAGGAGGUGGGGAUGGGAAGUUGGGUGGUACACCUGAUUCUGGCAAGAAUGAAGAUAAUAGUUUGAAGUUGGCUGUUUUGAAUCUGGGCACUAACUGUAAUGCCUGCCAGGAAAAUGUUAUCUUAUAAAGCAAAUCCCAGUGAGGUCACGAAGUGUGUCUCCUCCUCAAAUUGGGAUUCAGCACUAUGACUUGGUGCCUCCAUGUAACGAUAGUUUUGGGUUAGGCCUAAGGGGUCCUUGGUCUUAGCUUUGCCUGGUUUGAAUAUUUUUUUCCGCUGUUAACUGGGCAGGAUGGUCAUCUUAUUACCUUCUGUUGUCUGAUGGGAGAAUCAGGAUACCCAAGUCUGGCUUUACUUUAAGCCACCAGAUAUGGACACAUGUCUGUGUUAUCUUUGUAUUCUUCUCCAAGAAGGAUGCUCCUAGUGAGUGAGCUGCCUUUCUUUGAGAGAGAGUGGGAAAGUUAAUGAGUUCCCAUUUAGAAAGUACUCUGGAGUCUUUGGUGAUUCAAGGAGUGUUAUUAAAUUAGUGGGAGAUAUGAUACGGAGUGGGGAUGCUAAAUACAUAUGAGAUCCCCAAGGGUGAGUCGUGUGUGUGUGUACAGGAAAUGCAUCCUUGAUUUCAUAUAAGAUCAAGAGUUCAGUCUUACACCUCCCUUGCCUCCUAAUGGAAACCAAACAUUCUUCAAAACUGCUGGAUGCUUGCUUUUCUUUACAUAACGCAGUUCAGUUGGAUGAGUGAGAGAAGUGAAGCUAAUAUUUAGACACUACCUACUAUGUGUCAGAUACUUGGCAAUGUUCUUUACAGAAAUACAUCAUCACAUUCUUUAAACAACCCUUUGAGGUUGAUACCUUCAUUCCCAUUUUGUAGAUUAGAAAUUGAGUCCAGAAUUAAGUUCAGAUAAUUUGCCCAAAGCCAUAGAGUUUUCAAGUCAUAAAUUUGAUCUUAGACCUUUCUAGUUACCAAGGCCUACCUACUUAGACAGAAUCCAUUGGAGAGAAAACUUUCUAACAUUGUUCUAAGAAGUCUUGAUUCUUGGCACGUUUUUCUGUGUGAUGUGUUCUCUGUCAGGCUUGUCAUGAUCGGGGUAGGAAGAAUGCACUCAUUUCACUUAUACAUAUCUACCAUUGGGAUGUGUUAGUAGUAGGAAAGUAAAAAACAAAAAAACAUUUCGCAUGAUUUCCAUGGUGCAUUUUCAAAUCCAAAGUAGGCUCAUGGACGGUGGCUAGCCAGAUUUACUAAACUUGUGUACAGAAUUGGUGCUUUGGUCCCCACUUUCCACAUUGGACAAUUGAGGAAUGAAGUGAGAGCUCCACCCUGGCUUGAGAAUUCUCCAGGGAGGGGAUGUUCAGAGGCACAAGCCUAGGGCUUGAAGCUACUUGAUGCAAGAGGGAUGUUUGUAGAAAAGUAAACACUCACACAGAAUGAAUCAGCGUCUCCAUGGUGGACCUGAUGUUAACCUCUGACUCAACUGGAGAUUUUUAAAAAUAAGGAAUCUCUUUCUGGAUUUCUGAAGGUCUCUCUUGCAGGGAGCUUUGUGGCUUUUCCAUGUCUUCCACCCAUCCUCUUCUGUAAUGGAUGGUCUGAUGAAAGAACUUUGAAAUUUCAGGCUGACUGCAAAGUCUCCAAAGGAUCUGGGGUGCUGGGUGAACCAAACAGCGAUUUAGUUUUUUUAAUGAGAUUGGGCCCUGGGUGACUUACCGCUGGUUUCUCCUGGCUUUGAUCAAAAUAUCCGCCUAGUGGCAUGGUGCAGGCAGAGAGUGAUGAGCAAAGAUGAUGCAAGUCUUCAGUUGCCCCCAACUGCCUUGCUUUGUAAGAAAAUAUUUUCAGUGUUUUUAUGGGCAAGCAAGUCCUAAGGAAGUAAUACUUGAAUUUCCAAAAGCUGGUGCAGAAGACACACUAGGCUCUGCCUACACAAGCUAGUCACAAAUCUCUUUAUGAAUCUUCUCUUUAUGAAUUCCUGUUUUGAGGAGCCUAAAUGAAAUUCACCUUAUUUAGUAAUUGGUUCUUGGUUCUUAUAUUUGUCAGGUGGAUUUCUUUAUGCCACAGACUUUUUACCAUGAUCUUACAACACAGAGUUUAGAUAAACUCUCUAUUUCUCUUUGGGUACGUGAGCCCUCUAAGACAAAGGAGAGAUAUUUACAUUUAGGGUGCUUUAUAGUAAGUAAUUGAGUCCCUGAAUCACACAGCCUCACUUUCAUUACGUUGGUUAUAAUGAUAUUCCUCACUGGAAGCAGCACCAUGUCGUUUGAAAGAGCAGAGUUUUGAGGUAAGACAGCCCUGGGUUUGAAUUCAGGCUUGAUCUUUACUAAUUUUUCCUUAGGCAAAUUAUUUAACUUCUGUAAACCUUUCCUUUCUGAUCCUUACAAAGGAGAUAAUAAUAAAGAGCUUUCAGGGCUGUUGUUAGGAUUAGAGAUAAUUCCUGUGAAACACUUUUAUACUUUUUCAUUGCCACAGGGGCUCAAUAAACCAUUAUCUUGUAGGUCAUCAAAUUCUGUACAAAAGUUCAUUGCUGCUGUCGCUGUUACUACUUCAGCGGUUGUUAAAACUGUGGUUACUGUUAACCUGGUUACAGAAAAUUUUCCACUUGACACCUCCAUAACCAAGUGGGCCAGAGCCGUCCCUGUGGCCAGUUCAAUUAUUUUCAAAUGCCUCUCACGCAUUUUUACCAAACAUGAGUUAGGGCUUGAGUUAUGAUUCCAACUCUAAAGCAUUAUUUUUAGACACUGCCCUUGCCAGUUCAACGAGGCAGCUUUUGGAAUUGAUGUUAUCAGGAUUUAAAAUUACUGUAAUUGCUGAAGUGCUGUCUUCUUUGUCCUGGAGUCCUUUCUUUUCUGGGAGGUGACCUAGCCAUUCAAAGUUUAAGAGAAAAACUCUGUACCUGAUAAUACAGCCAGGCAGGAUUAGAGCUCCUGUUCUCUCAGGUGUGACUUCCUGAGCCAGGCUGCCGCCGAAGGUCCAGGUCAGUGAAUUCAUUUGGCAGCUCCCUGAAGAUAAGAAGAUUCAAGACAGAAAAAGCCCACCGACCUUUCCUUCUUCGCCACAGCUGUCCCUCAUGUCCCCAGAAAGUGGCCAUCCCAGUUCUAGCAGGCUUCCCCUAAGGAAGAUGUCUGCAGGAACCGUGCGCCUCUGGGGUAUGCUGGUUGCUGAUUGCAGUGGUUGAUUUAUAGCCAGAAUCUGGCACCUAGAAAAGGGGAUCCUGUGUCUUUAAACAGCUGUGCGCCACUGUGUGUAAAUGUGCUUGCUAAUCCAGUGACUAAUUCAGUAUAUUAUAAAGCAGCACUGAGCCGGCUGCCAAGGCAGGGCUGGAUCCCAACUGGAGUGGUGUGUAAGGCUCAGAGAAUUAUGUCUUGAAUUCUGCCACACCAUCCGUCGCUGAAAUCUCAUCUGCUGUGUUCUCUGAACCAGAGUCAGCCCUGGCCUUCUGGUUCCUGUCUGCCCACUCUGCUCCCUCUCUCUUUCCCUCUCCCUCCCUCCGUUUAUUUACUCAUGGAGGGUGGAGCCCAGCCCCAUCUGAGUCAGGGCCGGGGAACCAAUCAGUGGUGCUCUGGGGCAUUCCAGGGGCCAAAAUUCAUGAUCCUUUUGGAAAAGAAUUUCCCAAAAAGAUCCCUGGCUUCACAGUAUUGUGACUGCACCUUCCUCAGUUCCUGUACAGUGAGCCUUCACCGCCCCCGCACCCCACCGCCCUAUCAGCUUCUCCUCUGUCUCCCCCACCAGGGACUGGAGGGGGAGAGAGCCCUGUUUGAUGGACACUUCUUCCCCAUGUGAAUCUUAAGCAUAACCUGUGGCCCUUUCUCUCGUCCUCACAUAAGUGGUCUCAGCAGUUGCAGAUACCAGGUGUCUGCCUCUGGAAACGGCCCUUGCCCAGCCUCUCCCACGGUUGGUCUCCCAAUUUUUCCUUCGCCCAUGGAGAAAACUCCUCAUCGUACACCUUGCCCAGUCUGGCCUUCUUGGUGAUUCUCAGCACCACUCUCCCGAUGCCUGUUUUGUCCCCCGACCAAGUGCCAAGUGGGCCCCGACCCGAGGUUUGACCAGGCCAGUUCUGGGUAGGAUGUGCAAUGGAGCCUGCUGUCGGCAGAGCGUCUCAGGGAUGGAGGUUCUUCCCUGCUCCAGAAAGAGCUUUUUCUGUAAAUGAAAAUGUUGGAGAAAAUGAAAAAAUAAAUGUUACUAUGCCCCAUCGUUUUUGCCUCGUUGCUUUUAAUUUUGUGAAUAGGUGCAGGGAGAAAACACCUGGCUUUAGUGUCUGAAGAUGUGGGAUUGAGUCCUUGUUAUCUCACUUUACUGGCUUGACAGUCUUCGUUAAGUCACCUAAGAAACCUUUGUGAGCUUCGAUUUCCUCACCUACAUGAUAAAGAUAGUACUACAUGUGCUUGUUUUGAAAAAUCAUACGAGAAUAUUCAAGAAAACACUUUCUAAAAGAUAUAGUUCUAUUCAAAUAGCAGGAAUGAUAAUUAUAGGUGGGAGUUAAGUGAAAUUAAAAUCAAUUGGUUAGCCCAAUUCACCAGCAUCUGCAAGAUCUCACAGGAUGAGGCCUCAAAGGCUGUUAUGUAAACCAGAAGUAGUGGAAGCUGGGAUUAUAGCAAGAUGUAGUUGUCAGAUAUUCUCCAUUGUCUUCCUGGGUGGGGUUAUCGUAUGUCUUGUUGGUACCAAAAGCCUUAUGAUCCUGUCAUGAGAAUUUUAGUGAAGGCAGGCAGGAGUUUUCUUCAUUCAAAAGUGUAAGAUGUGGGAAGAACCAAUAGGAUGCAAUGUGGUUCUCUGCAAAGCCGUGGAGAAGAAAGGGCCCAACUCAUUCUUUCCUCCUGAGUAAUGUAGAGACCAUGGCUCCGUGUUUUUCAUGACAAAGAAGUCACACUGUUCUGGGACAUUUAGGAACUGUAAAAUAUGUCAUGUGGUGGGAGUCAAGUGUAAUUAUCUAUGCAGGAAAUGCUUUGAAACAUGUAAAGUACUUUGUAAAUGACUUGAAAUGAUCAUUUAAGAAGCUUAAAUGAUUCUUUAAUGUACCCUAUCGAGGUGGUCUUUGUACACAGGAAUCAUAAUCUCAAUAGCUAAAACUUCCUUUAAAUUGCUUGAGUGUCAUUAAUUUAGAGGCCCAUAAAUGACAGUUACAACGCAGCUUGGGUUUUGGCAGAUUCCAAACACAUAGAAAAGAAUUCUCAGCAUAAAAUUAUACCUUUACUUUGUGCCAUAUUGAUUCUAAGGUGGAAGUCU